rnacentral:lncRNA from 1 species
CACUACAAACUUUAAAUUGAAAAUUUAAAUCUUAAAUUAAAAAUCUUGCUUCGAAUUUAUAAUUUAAUUCAAAAUAUAAUUUACAUUUAUAAUAUAAAAUUUAAAUUUAAAUUGUAUAAUUAGUGGGUGCUAACACAUCUCAUCCGUGGCGUUGACAUGACGUCUCCGUGACGCUGACAUGUUGCUGACGUGACAUUUUUCGUCAACUUUAAUACUUUUCUAACAGCUGAAACUUAAUUGUAAUGAAAUCAAGAGAUCAGAAAUUUCAUUGUAAAAAAAAAG